rnacentral:lncRNA from 1 species
UUUUUUUUUUUUUUUCUUUCAUCAUCACAUAAAGAUGUGAUUUUCCCCCCGUAAUACACAUAUUUUCCUUCCUUCCCACUUUCUGGAUAAUUACUGGUCUUCCUUUUUGGCUCCACUUUCUUUUCCCAAACAUUAGAUAGUAUUUUUCUUCAUGAUUCUAACAUGUUCUCUUCUCUUUUCACUAUGCAUACUAAAAAUAUUGUGAUUUAAAUUAUCAUCUGAAUUUUUAUGAUCCGAGAGCUCUCAUCUUUGCUCAGGAGAAAUGAAUCUGACUAGCAUUCAUGAGGACACAGGUUCGAUCUUGGCCUCGCUCAGUGAGUUAAGGAUCCAACUUUGCUGUGAGCUGUGAUGUAGGUCACAGAUGAGGUUCAGAUCUGGCAUUGCUGUGGCUGUGGUGUAGGCUUGCAGCUAUAGCUCUGAUUGGACCCUUAGCCUGGGAACCUCCAUAUGCUACAGCUGUGACCCUAAAAAAAAAAAAAAGACAAAAAAAGGUAUCCAAGAGUUCCCGUGGUGGCGCAGUGGUUAACGAAUCCGACUAGGAACCAUGAGGUUGCGGGUUCGAUCCCUGCCCUUGCUUAUCAGGUUAAGGAUCUGGCAUUGCUGUGAGCUGUGGUGUAGGUCGUAGACGUGGCUCGGAUCCUGUGCUGCUGUGGCUCUGGUGUAGGCCAGCGGCUAUAGCUCCGAUUAGACCUCUAGCCUGGGAGCCUCCAUAUGCUGGGGGAGCAGCCCAAGAAAUGGCAAAAAGACAAAAAAAAAAAAGUAUCCAGGAAUUUUUUUCUUUAACCAAAUGUCUCAUGGACACCUCUAUAGGAUCCUUCAUCUACUCAUAAACCAGCUUCUACUGAGAGGCCCGUAAGUGUGUGAUAUCAUCACCAAUUAUCUGCAUACCAACCUUAACUCCUUCCCUCUCAUCUCUCUAGUAGUACUAUUCUAUUAAUUACUGUUGAUAUUGGGCCAUUGUUGACCUAUAGCUGAGUGGCUCAUAGGUCCACUUGCUUUUAUCCACCACUAACAUGCUGCCUUCAAUCAGAGCCCCAGCCUUGAGUGCCUAUAUGUGCUCAGAACUCUCCUUCACGGCUGAGGUAUAUCAAUGAAUGAAACUAAUAAGAAAUAGCUGUCUUUGUGGAUCUUACAUUCCAGUGGGGGAGAGAAACUCUACACGUAAUAUAGUCAAUAUAUUCAGACAUAAAAUCAACAUAAUAAAUAAGCAAAAAAUAGGAAAUCAGUAAGCGAUGCAUUAUGGAAAAUAAAAACUAUAGAGACAGUAGUAGGAUCUAGAAUGCCCAGGGAGAUGGGAAGAGGGGAAAGUCUGAAAUACUAAGUAGGAGAUUUAGGAUCAGCCUCAGUGAGGCAGUGAGAUUUGAGCAAAGUUUUGAAUGAGGUGAGGGAGUUAGCCACGUAGUUAUCUGAAGGAAGAAUAUUCCAGACAGCAGAAGCAGCUAGAAAAAAAUUUCACGGGGCAUAGAGUGGUAGUGUAUCUUCUAUGUUCAAGGAGCAGCAGCUCUGUCAGUGUGGUUAGAAUGACAGAGGAAGAAGGAGUCUACAGCACGAGGUGAGGCGAUGGGAAUUCUAACAGGGCACUACACAAGGUUGGGGAUCGAGGGUCCUUGGUAGGACUUUAGUUUUCACACUGAGCAAAAGGGAUCCAAUGCAGGGCCCCAGACUGAGGAGUGACCUAAUCUGGUUAUAUUUAAAACUGAUCAUCUGGCUGUUGUGUUGAGAACAGUCUGUCAGAGACCUGGCAGCACCUUCUGCAGAAAUCCAGGCAAAAGAUGAUGGUGGCUUUGGACCAGGGUUGUAGCAGUGGUGAUGGUCAGAAGUUAUCAAAUUCUAGGUACAUUUUGAAGGUAUAACCAGUAAGAUUUCCUGAUGGGUUGUAAAUAAGAAAUGAAUUAUCCAUUGCUCACAGUAAUGCUCUUCACGACUAGAACUUUGGGGUGUGUGUGUGUGUGUGUGUGUGUGUGAUAUUUAGUCUCAAAAGGGAUAUAUAUAUCCAAUGUUUUCUACAUGACAGGCACUGCACCAAUCACUUUAAAUAUAUUAAUUUAUUUUACCCCUUCGAUAGACUUAUAAAUCAUUGCUAUUAUAACGAUUCCCAUUCACAGACAAAGAAAGAGAAGCACAGGGAAUUUAAGUGAAUCCUUGAAGGUCAUUUGUUCCUUAAGCCAUAGAACUAGAAUCCAAACGUGGCCUGUGAGAUUCCGCCCAGGGGCUUGCAAAGAAAGGGAGGAAAAUUGUACACACAAACCAUAUUCUUAAUAUACUAAUAUUUAAAAUACAGGGAGAAUAGGAGUUCCCGUUGUGGCUUAGUGGGAAUGAUCCCAACUAGUAUCCAUGAGGAUUCGAAUUCAAUCCCUGGCCUCACUCAGUGGGUUAAGGAUCUGGUGGUGCUGAGAGCUGAGGUAUAGGUCCCAGACAUGGCUCAGAUCCUGCAUUGCUGUGGCUGUGACUUAGACCAGCAGCUGCAGUUCCAAUUUGACCCCCUAGCCUGGGAACUUCCAUAUGCUGGAACACAUGGCCCUAACAAGAAAAAAAUAAAAAUACAGGGAGAGAAAAUGUAGUUUCCUUUUGGCUACAACAAAACUGUAAUUUUUUUCUGCAAAAGGGUUGCAUUUAGGGCAACUGUUUCCCAGCAGAGACCAUCGGCCUGAACAUCAGCCUCUGCUGGCAGAAAGAUUCUGGAAAUUUUUAUAACUUGCUGUGACAACUUUGAUGUUAAAAUCCAAGCAAGUUUACAGAAAGCUUAUUAUUUUCAGUGACGGUAAUUCCAAGGAGAACGCCGUGGGCUUGCUGCCCUGACACAGCCCCACCCUCGACCUUCACACAAAGAAGCCUCUGAAGGGAGAAGACAGAGGAGCCUUGCUCACCACCUAUUGCAUGACGGGCCUGCCUGCUGGGUUGUGGGUAGAAUUCCCGCCAAGAACAGUUUCUGCAGGGGGAAGAAGGAGUUCUCAUUUGUUACACAACGCAUGAUAAAUUCCUGGCCCAUUUUCCCUUUGCCCUGUAGUAUCGAAGAGGAAAGACUUGCAUGACAUUCCAUGUUAUGCAAAGUAAUAUCACUAUCAGCAAAGUGAUUAUCAUAAAGUUGGCAAAAUUGAUUUUUUUCCAGAAGGUUUCUAUUUUCCUGAUAUUACAAAUUGUCAAUACCCCCUGAGACACCAUACCUUGAAGAAAGUGAAGACCAAAGGUGAGAGGGAUACAGGACAGAACAGAAGUUAUGCUCCAAACUUGACUUUGGAACUUGGAAAAUAUUUUCACAGGACUGGAAACAAUUUAAUUUCUCUCUUCUUUAUUUUUACUUUCACCAAUAUAUAUUAACUACUUACUUUUUAAGAGUAUAGAAAACAAUCAUUCUUCAUUGUAGACAAAAGUUUAUGGAUAGAGGAGUUCCCGUCGUGGCGCAGAGGUUAACGAAUUCGAUUAGAAAUCAUGAGGUUGCGGGUUCGGUCCCUGCCCUUGCUCAGUGGGUUAACCAUCCGGCGUUGCUGUGAGCUGUGGUGUAGGUUGCAGACGCGGCUCGGAUCCCGCGUUGCUGUGGCUCUGGUGUAGGCCGGUGGCUACAGCUCCGAUUGGACCCCUAGCCUGGGAACCUCCAUGUGCCGCGGGAGUGGCCCAAGAAAUAGCAAAAAAGCCAAAAAAAAAAAAAAAAAAAAAAGUUUAUGGAUAGGAAAUGUCUUUGCAUAUUAAAUAUAUGGAUAUCAUUGGAAACAGAAGUACAAACUACACGUUAAUGUUAUUGCAGUAUAUACGCAAGAGACACAGGCUUGAACAUAUGUCUUAUUUAUAUUUUAUCUUGAUAAUUCCUGGACUCGUUUUCCAGAUUUCAUAAAAGAAACUGUUGAUGUUUUGAAAAUGUUUUCCAUAAGAGGCAUCCCCAAAUGCAUUUUUGACUAGAGCAAUGAUUUUGAACUUGAGAGCAUUCAUUUAGAUUUUUGUUUGGACCUCUUAGUAGUAGUAACUGUACAGUGGCCUUAUCCCAACAUUACACUUUCGCAGUUCACGAUGAAACAUAUCUCUGCUUUACCGGAAGAGGGAAAUGCACACUGGAAUGUAUGGGAGUGGAAAAGGGGGGUAUUUUCCAUAUGCUGAACGUGUUACACCAGUUUUCUUUCCUCUACCUUCCUCCACAUCCUUAACUUUACUAGUGAACUCUUUCCUCACUAGUAAAUGGGGAAGGCAAUUUCCCCACGAAAUGAGCAGAAUAGGAAACAAUGGUUCUGCAUCUUCUAAGGAAAGAACAUUCGUGAACAUAGGAUUUACCCUUUAAAAAAAAAUUGUGUGUUUCUGUGGUUGAUACCUUUACCCAUUUAAAUUUCACAUUUAAAAAAUUAGACGACUUUCCCAAUUUAGAGGGGAUGUUAAGGAAGCAGGCACUGCUCAUGGGAUUUAUGUUCUUCAUUUUAAUUAAUAAGAAUGUUCUAAAAGUAAACACAUAGCUGACUAUUUGAAUGUUCUUCAAAUAUGAGGUGACUAUCUUAGGGUCAUAAGUUAGAGUGAGUGUGAUGACAAGGGACAAAGAAACUCCAAGGGAUCAGUCAUGGACCAACAUAGAGAGCAGUAGAUUUGUGUGGCUGCUUUUCAUCAGGGAUGACAUAAAUGACCACUGACCCGAAACUGUUUCUGUGCUGUAGAGAAGAAUUAAGUGAAAAUAUGAAGUCACUGCUUUGGUAAAGUGAGUGGAGAAAAUUUUCUUUAGAUCUGGCCCAAACCUUUAGUGUGCAAUACCAGGCUGUCUUCUUAGAAAAGGGUGGGCGAAAAUACAACAGGAAAAAAAUGCAAACUAACGCCUCAUUAAGCUCACCAGCCCCUGAAUACUAGAGGAUGCUUGGCUUUCAUCCUUUUUAACUAUCUGGAAGGUGCAAGAGUGGGAAUCCAGCAGAAGACAUUGUUAGCUGGAAAGAUGCAUCUUUCUCAUCCAAAAACAGAGUGUUUCUUGAAUAGGAAGAAAGCACCCUGAGAAAUGGGUUUCUGCUUUAAAAGUUUGGGGAUCAAGAGUGCAUUGUUCAUGGUGAUAUAUAGACAAUGAAACAUUAUUCUGCCAAAAAAAAAGAGACAAAAUUCUGUCAUUUGCAAGAACAUGGAAUCUUGAGGUCAUUAUGCUAAAUAAAAAAAGUCAAACAGGGAGUUCCCGUCAUGGCGCAGCAGAAACGAAUCCAACUAGGAACCAUGAGGUUGCAGGUUCGAUCUCUGGCCUUGCCGUGAGCAGUGGUCAAGGAUCUGGUGGUGCCUUGAGCUGUGGUGUAGGUUGCAGAUGCGGCUCGGAUCCCACGUUGCUGUGGCUCUGGCGUAGGUCAGCGGCUACAGCUCCAAUGUGACCCCUAGCCUGGGAACUUCCAUAUGCCACGGGAGCGGCCCUAGAAAAGGCAAAAAGACAAAAAAAGGAAAAAAAAAA